CCCAAUUAAGUCGUUCGACUCCCAUGCAUUAGUGCGAAAUUUCGGGGUCCGUGAAGUACUAGACAAAAAAAUAUGAUACCUUCAUAUAAUGUUACCUUGUACUCUACUGCAAACUGAAAAUCUAGUACUCCGCUAAUGUUGCUAUGAGUAACAACCUUCUUGUUUAUGCAAAUAUAAACAUGAAAAUUUCUGAUUCUGAAAUCAAAAGUUAUGAUGUGGGAAUGUUGGCAAUGCAACCCUACGCCACACAAAUUCACCCUACGCGGGGCAAUCAGUGAAUACAAGAUUCCAUUGCCGACCAGGUCCUUUAUACUGAAGUUAUUCCCUGCCUUCGCCGGAAGCCGACCAGCUUUAGCCCGACCGACCAAAGCACCCGUUGGGGUAUUAGACCUCUUUUUGAUUCCGGAAUCUCUCAAGUGGUGGCCCGGGCGGGGUUUGUAGUGCGCCCCAAAUUGCGAUGGCCAGAGUGGAUAAAACCGUUCGCUGUAUAAUCGGAUUGUGAUAACCGCUAAAUAUACAAAAAAUUUCCUAUUUCUUCAACGUGGUAUGUUAACCACAAAAACGUUUGUUCGCUA